rnacentral:rRNA from 1 species
UACGAAGGGGGCUAGCGUUGUUCGGAGUUACUGGGCGUAAAGGGCGCGUAGGCGGACUCUUAAGUCGGUGGUGAAAUCCUGGAGCUCAACUCCAGAACUGCCUUCGAUACUGAGAGUCUCGAGUCCGGGAGAGGUGAGUGGAACUGCGAGUGUAGAGGUGAAAUUCGUAGAUAUUCGCAAGAACACCAGUGGCGAAGGCGGCUCACUGGCCCGGUACUGACGCUGAGGUGCGAAAGCGUGGGGAGCAAACAGG